rnacentral:lncRNA from 1 species
AGGGGCUCCAACGUAUUGGGAAGCUGGAAAGCUGGAAACCCCAGCGUUGCUGUUUUGCUGAGCCAGAGCACGCCGGCAGCUGAGAAACCACACUUCUCUUGUCUUUUCAGCCAAACCACGUUUGGUCCAUGCUGUCACUCCCACCUCCCGAUUAGAUGCCCGGAGUCCCUCUGCCACCUGCCACUCGGCGAGACCAGUCCAGCUGCCCUGACGUGGGAGGGAGAUGGGGAAGGCUGAGCUCUCCCAGCCCGGGAGGAGGUCACAGAGCAGAUGAGCGCCCCAGAGAUGAGCAGAAUCAACUGCCAGGAAGGGAAAGAGAGCUGCCUUUUCCAGAGAGCUGCAGGGUUGAGGAAGCAUCGUCGCUGGUCACUGUCCUUGUGGCCCACUUCCAAGCCAAGAUUUCUUCAUCACAAAGGGCAAACCAAAAGAGCAAGUCCUUCCCUGCUUUCAACAAUUCCUAAAGCUGGAAUCCUGAGUUUUUCAUCUCUUAGAAUGAUAACUGAAUCGCUUUGCC